rnacentral:tRNA from 1 species
GCUUGGUUGGCUCAGCUGGUUAGAGCGCCGGUCUCAUACCUCAAUAUGAGUGAUGACUGCAUCACGCCAUCCGGAGAUCACCAGUUCGAUCCUGGUACCGAGCA